rnacentral:rRNA from 1 species
GAUCAUGGCUCAGGAUGAACGCUGGCGGCGUGCUUAACACAUGCAAGUCGAACGAAGCACUUUAUUUGAUUUCCUUCGGGACUGAUUAUUUUGUUGACUGAGUGGCGGACGGGUGAGUAACGCGUGGGUAACCUGCCUUGUACAGGGGGAUAACAGUUGGAAACGGCUGCUAAUACCGCAUAAGCGCACGGCGAUCGCAUGAUGCAGUGUGAAAACUACCGUGGUAUAAGAAUGGACCCGG